rnacentral:snRNA from 1 species
AGCUUUGCGCAGUGGCAGUAUCGUAGCCAAUGAAUUUAUCUGAGGCGCAAUUAUUGCUAAUUGAGAAUCGAGCCCUAUAAAUUCUGGGGCUCGGGUCUCUCCAUGGAAGAUUACCAACUCGUUGG